rnacentral:rRNA from 1 species
GACGAACGCUGGCGGCGUGCUUAACACAUGCAAGUCGAACGGAAAGGCCCUGCUUUUGUGGGGUGCUCGAGUGGCGAACGGGUGAGUAACACGUGAGUAACCUGCCCUUGACUUUGGGAUAACUUCAGGAAACUGGGGCUAAUACCGGAUAGGAGCUCCUGCUGCAUGGUGGGGGUUGGAAAGUUUCGGCGGUUGGGGAUGGACUCGCGGCUUAUCAGCUUGUUGGUGGGGUAGUGGCUUACCAAGGCUUUGACGGGUAGCCGGCCUGAGAGGGUGACCGGCCACAUUGGGACUGAGAUACGGGCCAGACUCCUACGGGAGGCAGCAGUGGGGAAUAUUGCACAAUGGGCGGAAGCCUGAUGCAGCAACGCCGCGUGCGGGAUGACGGCCUUCGGGGUGUAAACCGCUUUCGCCUGUGACGAAGCGUGAGUGACGGUAAUGGGUAAAGAAGCACCGGCUAACUACGUG